rfam:Aedes albopictus isolate Foshan contig111243, whole genome shotgun sequence.
UAUUGUGUGGCUUAGUUGGUUAAAGCACCGGACCUGCGAUUCGGAGUCGUGGGCUCGAAUCCCACUAAAACAA